rnacentral:rRNA from 1 species
GGGAGGUAGUGACAAUAAAUAACAAUACAGGGUUCUUUAGGAUCUUGUAAUUGGAAUGAGUACAAUUUAAAUCCCUUAACGAGGAACAAUUGGAGGGCAAGUCUGGUGCCAGCAGCCGCGGUAAUUCCAGCUCCAAUAGCGUAUAUUAAAGUUGUUGCAGUUAAAAAGCUCGUAGUUGAAUUUCGGGAUUGACACAUCGGUCGUGCCUUAAGGGGCAUGAACUGGUGUAGUCAGUUUCUCACCUGCUGGAGAACCGCGAUGUCCUUAAUUGGGUGCCGCGAGGAACCAGGACCUUUACUUUGAAAAAAUUAGAGUGUUUAAAGCAGGCAUUUUGCUUGAAUACAUUAGCAUGGAAUAAUAAAAUAGGACGGAUGGUUCUAUUUUGUUGGUUUCUAGGAUCGACGUAAUGAUUAAUAGGGAUAGUUGGG